GUUUUUGUCUUUUUACUUCAUAAAAGCUUGGAAAUAAGUCGUUGGGUCUCCGAGUGGUUUUAUGAAAAGGCGGGGUGCUUAGGCGACUUGCCGUAUUUAUAAAGUAAGUAAAAUUGUGGGUUCUGUUCAAAAUAGAGUUCUGAGGGGUUACUUCACGUAGGCAGGUUCGACUCCUGCCGAACUCUACAAAUGAACAUGAACCCAGAGAUAUUUACAAGCACUUUUCUACUACCGGUAUACGGUAGUAAAUAUUAAUCUUCAACUCAACCUUCCUCAAUAUCUAUUUUACCACAAUACACCCAGACGAAAUUGUGGUAAAUGCGAAUAAUUAUUGAGAUGUAAAAGGAAUAAAAUAUUUUAUUCACGGCCAGCAAAUUGAAGCACGACCAUGCACUGAGCAUGCACGACCAAUAUACAUGCAGCACUAUAGCAAGCCUAUUUUAUGCUUGUAAAUAUCCCUGGAACCAAUGCAUGUACAAAACCAUACACAUAUAGUAUCAGUAUCAUGCAGGAUAUAAUAUCAUACACAACUUAUAAGCCUUUCUCAGGUUGGUGCAUAUCAGCCAUUUUGGGGUAGUGUGUACACGUCAGAGAAUAGACAAUGUAAGCAAUGUGAAAAGCGGCGUUUAAAAUUUUAACUGUAAAUUUACCAUUAUACACACAAAUGCAGUGAUAAAAAGUAGCACUUCGCGGUGCGCACAUUCUCGUCAUGCAGACUUGGGAGAGGUAGUACCCCCAAAAUGGCGGAUAAACCAAGCUUGGGAAAGGGUAUUGGGUCAAACGAUCACAAUGGGGUUUUUUCUGUUCUCAUGCAAGCAGGUAUAGAGAAAUGUGAAUGGAGGUUUACCGUUCUCAACCAAAGAAGGACCAUAUACUACCCAGUUGUUCAGUACACAAGUUUGUUUGCGCUUGAUGUGUAGCGGGACGUCUUCUAAAUUUGAUUAUUCAUCUUUUGGGAAUCUUGCAUAAUUUUUUAACAAGCUUCCGUAAACCUCCGACUAUAAGCCGCCCCUCGAAUAUAAGCUCCCCCCUCCCCCAAAUAUAAGCCCACCACAUGUACUAACGCUCACCUCAUUCCAGAUAUAAGCCCCCCAGAAUAUAACCCCCUCCCCCCUUGCAUAAGCCCAUCAAAAAUCGCUUACGAAAUAAUAUAAGUCCAGGGCUUAUAGUCGGAGGUUUACGGUAUAAAGCUUACACGUGUAUAUAAUAGAGCUAACCAGAUUCAAAGCCUUACGUAUUUACAGUAUUCUUUUCUAGAUUAAAAUGCACUGCAUGUUCAAUAAACUUGUUGUAUUGAGUAUAAAAUGUUAUUAAUUUAAAUUGUCUGCAACUUAAGGCAGUCGAGAAAUGUCACUGUAAUAUUUAAUAAAGG